rnacentral:lncRNA from 13 species
AUGGACCCUGGCCUCCUCUGGCCCCCAAGGAGUCCUGCUCGCUGCUGGCUCUGGUGGAAGCGCUGCAGACCCACAGCCCGGUCCUGCGCCCGCAGAGGCUGCUACCCUUGGCAGUGUUUGCUUCCAACAGGCCCCGCCGCCGGGAGCCAGCCCCUCUCUGACGCCCUAAGCUCCACUGCAGGGGUCUGGAGCCAGGCAACCUCCAUCGGGUCUCAGUUUUGUCAUCGGAAAGCCCGCUCCCGCUGGCUGGGGUACCAUCUGCUAAGCGUCUCCCGGCCAUGCCCAAGGGAGGAGGUUGCAGCCCGAGGGAGGGGUCUCGGAGCAUUCCCGACCCACCCGGGCAGGAGCUGCCGCUGCCGCCGCGGAGCGGAGGGACCGGGAGCCCGCGAGGCCGGGGAAGGGCGGGCCAGGAGAGGGGUCACCCGCCCGCCUGGGUGCGGUCCGCGCGGCGCGGGGCGGCGGCCACCGGCACCCCGACCCCGGACGCACCCCCCACCCUCCAGCCUGCCGCGCUCACCUGCCGCGCGCUCCCGCUCCGCCGCCGCCAGAGUGGCAGCCCCAGUGGCCGCGGGCCGGCCCGGUUCUCACCGCGGGCGGGGAAGGAGGAGCGGCCGCAGGCGCCCCCCGCUGGCCGCGUGUCCCAGGCCCCGGGCGCAGGGGCGGGAUCCGGGGCGGAGGACUGGGGGGCGCCCGGGAGACCGCGUCCCCGCUGCAGGCGCAGCCGCCCCCGCCCCAGCUACCCCAGAACCGCGGGAAACCUCCAUCGCGAGGGAGCUGGCGAGCUGGGGUCGCGGCAGGAAGGAAAGGAGUCCCAGCAGGACCUUCUCCAGGUUACGCUGAUGCUGCAGGUCCUUGGCAGACUGGGUGGCGAGGCUCUGAGGCACUGGAGUCCAAAUGAGGCUGGAGUCCCACUCUCAAGAGAUUCUGGUCCUUGGGUGAGGUCUGGGAAUAUGCAUUAUUUUUAAAACCCAGGUGAGUUUAAUUUGUGACAAGGAUGGCACUUCAAAUCAGAAAGGAAAAGGAAUGGCUCCUUUAAAAAAAAAAAAAAAAAAAAAAGAACCACAGCUGGGCUGGGCAUUGUGGCUUAUAAUCCCAGCAUUUUGGGAGGCCGAGGCAGGUGGAUCACCUGAGGUCAGGAGUUUGAGACCAGACUGGCCAACAUGGUGAAACCCCAUCUCUACCAAAAAUAUAAAAAUUAUCUGGGUGUGGUGACAGGCACCUGAAUCACAGCUACUCAGGAGGCUGAGGCAGGAUAAGUGCUUGAAUCUGGGAGGUGGAUGUUGCAGUGAGCUGAGAUCGCACCACUGCACUUCAGCCUGGGUGACCGAGUGAAACUCCAUCUCAAAAAAGAAAGAAAGAAAGAAAACAAAGCUGGUGGCACGUGGCUGUGUUGCCAGCUACUCGGGAGGCUGAGGCAGGAGGAUUGCUUGAGCCCAGGAGGUGGAGGCUGCAGUGAGUGGUGAUUGCACCACCGCACUCUAGCCUGGGCAACAGAGGGAGACAUGGGCACACACAACCACAUCUGACUGGUGUGUGGAAUAGUGCUAUGACUUCCCAGCCCGUCAUCUGUGGGUCUUCUUCACACAAAUCUAUGAGCAAGUCUCCUGACAGCAGACAGGAAAACAGAGCUGGAGAAGGUGAAUAUACACCAUGCCUGCAUCACUCCUCCCAUGAGGACCGUCGGGCCAUCUCCAUCAUCCCCAUCGUCCCCAUUGCUACUGUGGACCUGUCAGUGGGAUCAUCCCAUUCGAUACUCAGUCCUCAAUAGAGAGUUCUCAAACAGUAGCCAGCAACAGAGUCACCCAGAGGUCUGGUGGAGGCACACGUGGCUGGGCUCUGC